CUUUUCGGUAUUUGAAGUUUUGUUUCAGAAACCAAAACGAAAAAACGAUAUUUAAAAGAAUUUUCAUUUUUUUAAUUUUUGAUAAAGAAUAAAAUGGGCGAAAAUAACUUGUUUUUUCAUUCGGUGGUAACAAAUAGCCGUCAUACACUUAAAAUUAGACGUGCUUUUUUGGAUUUCUUCGUGAUUCAAAUAAUGAAAGUAUACUAGCGCAAAAACAAAAAAAUAGACGCAUUUUCAAUGUCUGAAACGGGAAGUACUUCUUCUGCGCGUUUUUUUAUGGCGCGCGCACACCGUCCCCCACACAAGAGAUCGACGGCCUUAAAGUUACACUGGAAUAAACAGAGGAUGGACCAUUACGUUGUUUUUAGGAAAACUAAGAGAGUGACACUCCGGGACGAAGACAUGACUGCAGAAAAACUGGGUCGCAUCUUUCAGGUAUCCGCGCAUACUCUGUACAUCACGGAUGAUUCAAA